AUGAUGCCUCUAUUCAAGCCUAUGGUUUUAGCAAAGGAUAAGAAAGUGAACCACUUUUCCUUAUAUGUCAUGAAUCGGUACCGAUGUAGCGUGGACAUGCUUGACUCUUUACCUUAUCCGAAGAACCAGUGUCCUUCAAAGAACACCUAUCAUAAAGACUGCGAGAAGAUUUACAAUGCGAGCAAGCAGCCCAAAUGGGAGCUUUUUGCAAAGAAACCAACGUUUGUGAAGGUUCCACUUCAAGGGGCGAAUGAAUGUGGCCAUUAUACUCUGAAGUAUGCAGAAUCCUAUGAUGGUGAAAAGAUCGUUGGGAACAUUCGAGAUAAUGAUCCUCGUAUUGUUGAUUGGAAUGCUGAGGAUCUGUAUAGAGUUGUGUUCAACCGGAAUAACCAGCUUCUGGUGAUGGAGCUUCGCAAGGAGUUUUAG
rnacentral:rRNA from 1 species